CUCCAUCGUUCUCACAUCCAAAAAAGCACCGACGGAGCUAUCUCCUUCGUGGCCCUUAUCCACAAGGUUGCUCCUCAUCCAUCAUCACCCAGCUCCCAGCAGCGCUGCUCUCUCGUCUUCUCCACCCCGCCCCGCCCCCAAUUCCUUCCAACGCCUACGCAUUGGUGCUCCAGCCAAAGACAGCCACCCCAGCCGCCGUCUGCUCCCCCCCCUCUCUAUAAAUCGCGGGUCCCCUCUCUACAAAUCGCGGGUCCGUGGAGCGAACAGCCGGUGGCUGUGGUGUCCAUCCCCUUUCUUCCUCUGCUCUGACGAGCUGCCUUGCUUGGAUCCGUCGAGCGAGGCGCCGGUGGCGGCGGUGUCCGACGUGCUCCCGGCCGGUGCCCCUUUCGUCCUCUGCUCUGAGGCCGGGUCCGGGCUUGCCUCUGUUCUUUUGCCAUCCCACAGUCGACCGCUGCCUCUGCUCCAACCAUGACAUGACCUGAGUUCCUUCUAUUCUUUUUCUUCAUUUAUUUCCUUUGAUUCUUGAGAAACACUCGCUGGAACAUCUCACGCAGACGGGCUAAGGCCCAAGUGGCAACGCAUCAGCCACGAAUGAUCGCAAGGCAAGGCCCGAGCAAGAGCGCAUAUGGAAAAUAUAUAAUUAGUGCACGUACGGACGCAUAUAGAUAGUACCACCUUGGAUAUUAAGAAAAAUAUCAAAUCAAGAAAAAACGGACAGGAAGAAGCGUAUUAUGACAUGGGAAGAAAGCGCAUUGUGACGGUGAACCCGGAGACUCAAUCGAUACUUUAUUAUUAGGGAGAGAUUAGCAAGCGUGGUGGAAAUUUCAGCUUUCGGUAUCUUUCUUUUAUUUGUAAUAAUAUCUUUCAUGUACUUAGCAUAAGGAUUGGUUUUGAGUAUAUCAGUUAAUCGCAUACACAAAAAGGUAGGUUUAAUCAUUUCAGCAAAGCGCUCAAAAUCCUCAUUA